GUUCCCCUGUAGCGCAAUGGAUAGCGCGUUAGACUUCUAAUCCAAAGAUAGUGGGUUCGAAUCCCACCUGGAAUG
rnacentral:tRNA from 1 species